rnacentral:rRNA from 1 species
UCCUGGCUUAGAUUGAACGCUGGCGGCAUGCCUUACACAUGCAAGUCGAACGGUAGAGGGCAACCCUUGAGAGUGGCGAACGGGUGAGUAACACGUAUGCAACCUACCUUUAACAGGGGGAUAACCCGUUGAAAGACGGACUAAUACUCCAUGACACAGGGGUCCCGCAUGGGAAUAUUUGUUAAAGAUUUAUCGGUUGAAGAUGGGCAUGCGUUCCAUUAGCUAGUUGGUGAGGUAACGGCCCACCAAGGCAACGAUGGAUAGGGGAACUGAGAGGUUUAUCCCCCACACUGGAACUGAGACACGGUCCAGACUCCUACGGGAGGCAGCAGUGAGGAAUAUUGGUCAAUGGAGGCAACUCUGAACCAGCCAAGUCGCGUGAAGGAUGAAGGUCUUAUGGAUUGUAAACUUCUUUUUCAAGGGAAUAAAGUGGGGGACGUGUCCUCCUUUGCAUGUACCUUGCGAAUAAGGAUCGGCUAACUCCGUGCCAGCAGCAGC